CUUGGGAUGUCUAUCCUCAGCUCCUUCUGCUUCCCUAUGUCUCCAGGACUCUGACCUCCCUUGAAGGCUGCACCAUCAGAAGGGAAAAGAGACGCAGACCUUGGAAAAUUCUGUGUGUGGCAGCUUGGUCAUCUGAGAACAGGUGUUUGUUUAAUUGUCUUUCCUGCUACUCGGGAAGUUCGGUGACGUCUAUCCCACCCUCUUCGUCUCUCCAGUGCCCAUGAAGGUGACGAGAUGAACCCAUAUUACAAACGCCAUGCUGUGCAAAACAAUCCAGAAACAAGAGUCUACACUGUAAUGCUACCUACAGACACAGUCGUUCUAUGGUGGAACAAGAACUGUUUUGAGACACUCCUCAGCAGGCCUCUGUAGGUCUCUGCGCCCAGCACAGAGCAGCCUAACAUGUGAGACCCCGCCCCAAGAGCGGGUCUCCAUGUAAGAGACACAUCCUGCCACGAAUCUAGCUUCCUGCCAGUGCCACAGUCUGGAGCCGAUUAUCACUGCUCAUCACUGCUCCACGUGUGUUG